GACGAACGCUGGCGGCGUGCCUAAUACAUGCAAGUCGAACGCAGUGGGGACGGGUGAGUAACACGUGGGUAACCUCCCAUCAGAGGGGAUAACACUUGGAAACAGGUGCUAAACCGAUACUGAUGGAUGGACGCGCGGUGCAUUAGCUAGUUGGGGGGGUAACGGCUAACCAAGGCCACGAUGCAUAGACGACCUGGCAGGGGGAUCGGCCAAACUGUGACUGAGACACGGCCCAGACUCCUACGGGAGGCAGCAGUGGGGAAUCUGCGGCAAUGGACGAAAGUCUGACCGAGCAACGCCGCGUGAGUGAAGAAGGUCUUCGGAUCGUAAAACUCUGUUGUUAGAGAAGCGGUAUCUAACCAGAAAGCCACGGCUAACUACGUGCCAGCAGCCGCGGUAAUUC
rnacentral:rRNA from 1 species